rnacentral:rRNA from 1 species
ACGGUAGCAGGAGAAAGCUUGCUUUCUUGCUGACGAGUGGCGGACGGGUGAGUAAUGCUUGGGGAUCUGUCUUAUGGAGGGGGAUAACGACGGGAAACUGUCGCUAAUACCGCGUAGAGUCGGGAGACGAAAGUGCGGGACCUUAGGGCCGCAUGCCAUGAGAUGAGCCCAAGUGUGAUUAGGUAGUUGGUGGGGUAAAGGCCUACCAAGCCGACGAUCGCUAGCUGGUCUGAGAGGAUGGCCAGCCACACCGGGACUGAGACACGGCCCGGACUCCUACGGGAGGCAGCAGUGGGGAAUAUUGCGCAAUGGGGGCAACCCUGACGCAGCCAUGCCGCGUGAAUGAAGAAGGCCUUCGGGUUGUAAAGUUCUUUCGGUGAUGAGGAAGGUUGGUGUGUUAAUAGCAUGCCAACUUGACGUUAAAUACAGAAGAAGCAC